rnacentral:rRNA from 1 species
UACGUAGGGUGCGAGCGUUAAUCGGAAUUACUGGGCGUAAAGCGUGCGCAGGCGGUUCGUUGUGUCGGCGGUGAAAUCCCCGGGCUCAACCUGGGAAUGGCCGUUGAAACUGGCGAACUGGAGUGUGGCAGAGGGGGGUGGAAUUCCGCGUGUAGCAGUGAAAUGCGUAGAGAUCAGGAGGAACACCCGUGGCGAAGGCGGCUCCCUGGUCCGUCCCUGACGCUGAGACGCGAAAGCGCGGGGAGCGAACGGG